rnacentral:rRNA from 1 species
CGAAGGUGGCAAGCGUUGUUCGGAUUUACUGGGCGUACAGGGAGCGUAGGCGGUUCGGUAAGCCCUUUGUGAAAUCUCCAGGCUUAACCUGGAACAGUCGGAGGGGACUGCCGGGCUAGAGGACGGGAGAGGAGCGCGGAAUUCCCGGUGUAGCGGUGAAAUGCGUAGAGAUCGGGAGGAAGGCCGGUGGCGAAGGCGGCGCUCUGGAACGUUUCUGACGCUGAGGCUCGAAAGCGUGGGGAGCAAACAGGAUUAGAUACCCUGGUAGUCCACGCCUUAAACUAUGAAUACUAAGUGUCGGCGGGUUACCGCCGGUGCCGCAGCUAACGCAUUAAGUAUUCCGCCUGGGAAGUACGGCCGCAAGGUUG